rnacentral:lncRNA from 1 species
GUGUGAAACCGAACUUCUUCUAUGGAAAGCCUCUGACCGAGCCCCUACAGCAAAUGGCCCUCGCCUACAGUAUUAACGCCCAAAGCACCCAAUGGUAGAAGGCUCGCCAGCAACAUCCGAGCUCCUCUCAGAUGGAUAGCUGCCUAUCUCCACCAGAUACCUCAACCGAGCUUCGGCCGACAGGCCUGGACCCCUUGACGAGCCACAGUAAUGGCCACGACUCUGCUCCACUUCCUGCAGCC